rnacentral:rRNA from 1 species
UUGGAGGGCAAGUCUGGUGCCAGCAGCCGCGGUAAUUCCAGCUCCAAUAGCGUAUAUUAAAGUUGUUGCAGUUAAAAAGCUCGUAGUUGAAUUUCGGGAUCAGUACGUUGGUCGUGCCUUAGGUACGUACUGGUGUUACUGGUUCCUACCUUCUGACGAACCAUCAUGUCAUUCAUUUGGUGUGGCGGGGAAUCAGGACUGUUACUUUGAAAAAAUUAGAGUGUUUAAAGCAGGCUCGCGCUUGAAUACAUUAGCAUGGAAUAAUGAAAUAGGACGUUGAUCCUAUUUUGUUGGUUUCUAGGAUUGACGUAAUGAUUAAUAGGGAUAGUUGGGGGCAUUAGUAUUCAAUUGUCAGAGGUGAAAUUCUUGGAUUUAUUGAAGACUAACUACUGCGAAAGCAUUUGCCAAGGAUGUUUUCAUUAAUCAAGAACGAAAGUUAGGGGAUCGAAGACGAUCAGAUACCGUCGUAGUCUUAACCAUAAACUAUGCCGACUAGGGAUCGGAUGAUGUUAAUUUUUUAAUGACUCAUUCGGCGCCUUACGGGAAAC